AGUUCAAAAGUAUAUUUCGCUUACUCAGCAGCGAAAAUACACUCUCUGGUGUAAUCAAAUAACAUCUAGAGAUUGUUCAUUUAAUCAAUAUCGUCAUUAAAAUGAAGCAAUAUAUAACAAUUUUAUCACCUAACAUCGUUGGUCAGAAUUCAAAAAUUUAUUGGAUCAAAUCAGUUUUAUGGUAAUUUUUUAAUCUAUCCAGACAGUGAUAAGUGAUUUGGAUGCAGUAAUAAAGAGUCUGGUGUCGAUGUUUGAAAUGUUCAUUCAAGUUAAAGUCACGGUCAGAGGUGGAUUUGUGAAACUUAAAAAAUAUUCGAUAAGAAUUUGUGCACUUCAAAUCAAAUGAUGACAAAAUGACAGUUGACGAUGAGGUGUACGAUAUUGAAUAUAUUUAGAAGGACAUUGGCGGUGCGUAAGUAUUCGUUUCGUGAACCGAAGAAGAAAAUUUCAUUUCAUGAUAAUGAAACAAAUAAUAAAUGUAUAAUAAAAAGCCCCACCGUUGUUCAGAUUCGGUAAAUAUCAAAUUUACAACUAUUUUAUGUUAUCGUACUCAAUAUUUCUGGCUGGCUUUUUGGUACUGGACUGUGUGUUUGCCACACUAAGCAUUGAUCACAGGUAGGUCACUAAUUAAAUGAGAAUUCAGAUAGAAAUGGUCUUUUUGACACUUGACAGCUCUUAAAAAGGUGCAAAAUAGAUGAAUGUGAUGACGCAGACAUAGGAGAUGCAAUAUUCGAGCCGAACUGAUUACAAUAUUCAACUCCGUACAUUAAUGGCAAACCCGAUUCGUUUCAUCGUUACGCGAUCCCCAAAAGUGUUCGCAAUCAAAAUGAAUACGUUUGUGAUAUUGAUUUAUCUAACCGUUACGACUUCGGUACACUAUGGCAAUGGAACAUUGAUAUUUCGCACUGAUGAAGUAUCCAUUGUCAAUGAGGUAAGGCUCUCAUUCACCCAAGUUUUUUUCAUGCAUAACAAUUUAUCCCAUGGGUCAGGUAGCCACUGCUUUGAUCACAGCAUAUCUACAUUAUUACCAGGUAUUUUUUUUUUAAAUUUCUUCGUCGAAUUCUUUUUCUCCAAUUUUUUGGCACAUAAAAUUCAAUGAAUCUAGAAUUAAUACUUAUUGUAAAUCCAAUUUUUACUUGUAAUUCAAGUGGCUCCUAAGAGUGAUUGCCCUGUUUGGUUUCGCAACGUUUCCAUUUUUCUGGAUAUUGCCCGAGAGUUUCCGAUGGCUUUUGGUGCAUCGAAAGCAUAAAAAAGCGGUAAAAAUGAUCGAAAAAGCAGCCAAAGUCAAUGGAUUAACACUUUCCCCCAAAGACAUACGACAUAAUCGCAUCGAAAUGUAAAAAUGGAAAUUCCGAUGAGAAUUCCAGUAAAGACAACGUGACUGUCAAAUUUAAUUCUGCGAUUCUUGGAUAUUAUCACAAACUUUUCGUUAGCCGCUCGCUUAGCAAUGUGCACAUUUUGUCUAGGGGAAUAUCACGCUUAAAUUAUUUCAAAUAUUUCAAAAAAAUCCAAUUUAUCUCUAAGAAUCUGUCGUAUGAAAUAUGGUGGAUAUUUGUGAAUACGGCGGAAUAUUGUGGAUUUUUGUGAUUAUGAAUGAUAUUUGAAUGUAUUUAUUCGGAUUUAAUGCAAAAAAUCUCAAAUAUCUCCAAAAUCCACAAAAAUCUGAUUUAUUUAUUCGAAAUAAUCGAAAAUAUGUCAUACAACUAAUGUUUAUUUCAAAUAUCUCAAAUAUCUCACAAGAUUCAGGAGCGUGAUAUUCCCCUAGCAUUUUGUUGGAUUUCAUCCACAUUGAUAACAUAUGGUGCGUCAAUACUGUCGGUGUCAAUGCCAGGGGACAAAUACGUGAAUUUUAUGGUUAUCGCAUUGACUGGUAUGCCAAGCAUUCUUUUCACAUACACAAUGUUAAAGUACAUGAACAGAGGAUGGGCUUUGUCCAUCUCAUUCCUAAUGACUGGAAUAUCGAUUCUUGCCUCAAAAUACUAUUCCUGGAAUGCGACGAUAUCGUUAUUAAUUUUCUUUUUGGCCAAACUUGUUAUUCAUCAUUCGUUUACGUCUCUUUAUGUGUACACAAAUGAAAUGUGGCCGACAGUACUCCACCACAGAGUUGUAAGUUUGUGUCUAAUGAUCGGACGUAUUGGAUCGAUUACUGCACCACUUUCUCCGCUGCUGGUAAAUAGAUGAUUACAAAUGUGUGCAAAUAAUAACCAUUUUUGUUGUUCAUUUGGGUUUUAGGGAACUGUACUUGAAAUGCUGCCAUUCUAUUUAUUCAGUGGAUUUGCAGGCCUAUCAGCUAUUAUGAUGUUGUUUUUGCCAGAAACGUUUCGACAAGAGAAGCUCCCCGAUUCAAUUGACGACAUCAGAAAAAUGAAAAAAUAAAAACAGUACCAACACCAAUGAACAGUGAAAAUGUUGUAUCGGCGGGUCGACUCGAAUCAAUUAAGAUUGAAUGACAGGUCAACGAUCUUACAAUUUUAUCUUUUUAUCAAUAACACACGAUAGAAAAUGCAAACGACUGCAAUGUAAUGAAAGUAGGACACAACUCGCCGCUGUAAGAUGUUAGUUAUGUACACUCUACAUACCAUCAGUGUACUCAUUUGCGGUGUUCUUUAUUCAAAGUGAAUAAUGUACUUCUGUGUCUCUUCGGGUGCGAGAUGAUGUUUUGAAAACACAAAUUAUUAUCUGAGCAACGAGAUAAACAUGAGGUUUUCAGUAUAGCAUGGUCUACCAUUUGCGCCAUCUUGGUCAAAAUAGCGAAUGGUUAAAACAGUUAUCUCUUAUCUCUUAUCAGUUACACGAAAACCGUGAAGAACCACGACAACACAAGGCAUACCAACAUACUCUACUUAAACGCCAACGAAACCAUCAGAAUACAUACUCGCCUUUUCAAAAAUAUAAAUCGAAGAAAAAACAUACAUGAAUUUUUCAUUGAUACACAAGGCUAACCAAAAUCUUUACGAACGAAUUCCGUGAUAAAAAUAAUGUUUGGGCCUAAAGCAUUUCAUAUAUUAAUAUAUUUGAUCAAUUUAAUGAAAGAACAAUUUAUGAAUGAAUAUAAAACUUUUGCAUAUAAAAAAUAAAAAUAUUAUAGAAAAAUGUAUAAAAA